UUUUGCAGAAUGUUAACGCUCUAUGGGCAGAGCAUGCGCACCAGAGACAGAGCCGGAUAACUUCCGGUUUAUCCCUAUGCUAACUUAAAAUAAUUAAAUCGUAUGGCUCUUCUAGACUUUCCACAUGUUAUUGGGCUGAAUGGAUCAAAUUCUGAGUCAUUUGCAGAGUUGUGACGCUCAAACCAGUUUAUCCAGGAGGCUACGACGGAGCCUAUGACGUAAGCACAAGUUUAACGAACUUGGUUGUGACUGAGCCCACUCCCAGAACACGCACACAGCACGCUCUCAAGCACCCCCGAAUGAGAGGGCCAGUAAAGAGACAGACAGGGCUGGACGGCCGGUAAAAACUUUCUGGAUUUUAUGUGGCCAGUACACCACUGGGCCAGUCUCAAAGAUGGUUAAAUGACUGAAUGAUUUAUAGCCCUUCCAACAUGGCAGCCCAGUUUACAAUGCCUUUAAAAACUCCAGUGACAGUGUCCUUACUCAGCUUUUCAGAGCGAAAUGUUCUUGGUAUGAACAGUAAAACCAGUCUGGCUUGCAUGAUCACUUGGGAACAUCUGGUAUGUGUUUUGAUUAAAACAAGGCACCAGCAAUCCAGGGCGGUGUUCCCUCAUGUAUUCAUUACUCAUUCAUACAGCUGAAUUUUUUUAUUUUUGAAUAAACAGGUGCUUUUUUUCACUUUUUUUCUUAUUUUCAUGUGCUGAGAAGUAGCACUGUAUACAGUGCAUGUGUUCAGAGGUGACUAAUGUACUGAGUCACAAGCCUGGAGCUCUAAUUGAAACAAUUCCAGGAAGAAUAAUGUGUGGCGUAUGGAGUCAGGUCGACGCGACCAGGUGGAAUAUUAUCCAGGCCAGCCACAGUUUAUUGCUUCUCUAUGGUGACAGCACAUGUGCUAAUCACAAAAACAUGCAGGAGUGGCAGCCUGUGAAGGCCUGAGAUGAUCUGCUAAAGCAACGUUUAGAGACUCAAUUCACUCGAGGUUUUAGUGAAAAAGUUGGAGAGGGUCAUUAUCGUAAUGAUCCACUGAUUUAGACCAUUUUGCUCACGUCCUGCAGUCUUGAGUGUGCCUCUGGAUGGGUUACCAUUAGAUCGGUGUGAUUAUUUUGGCCUUUAUUCAACCUCUCUCUUCGGUGUUAAGUUUUGAAAUGUUUCUUCACUGCUGCUCCUAGACAUCACUUCAAUCAAAACAAUGCGGUCAGUAUUGUGACGUCUUUUUUCUGCGGGUUUUCUGUUAGUGAGUGUUGUGUGGGUGGGGCUGCUACCUUGUCUGUUUAGCACUGUUAUCACCCCCAAUAAAGUCAACAUGCAACCUCCUACUGUUGUGAUGUGUGCAAAACCAGAUAUGGUCUACAGUGUUUGGUAUGUACCACGUCUGUAAUGGUACUUUACAUGAAAUUAUAUAAUAUUAUAUUCAUUAGGGAGACGCCUUUGUCCACAGCAACUUAUGAACAACAUUCAAACUCAAAAGGAAGAGUUAGAUGUCACCAUGCUUAGGUUUUGCCAGGGAGCCAGUGUAGUGAAAGGAGAAGAGGAGUGGUGUGGGAGACAUUUGGGAGGUAGUAGUCUAACUGAAGGGAACACCAGCUUUGUCUUGUCCAGGUUGAGCAUUAGGUGGCGCCUUAACAUCCACUCCAAGAUAAGUGCCAGGCAAGCAGUGGUGCAUGCCUCCACCUGAGUGUCAGCCUGGUAGUGAUGCUAGAAGCCAUGUGAGUGUAUGACAGCACCAAGGCUAUCUCAGUUAAGUGUCUUGAGACUGUCACCUUCUCCCGCCUACUCAACUUUCAUAUACUAUCAAACAAACUCUCAGCGACUGAAAUGGAAGCAUUACAACCUUAAACAAUAUUAUGAACUAUACUGAGGCAAGACUCAAACUUUGAACUAUGAAAGUUGUAAAGGAACACUUCUUCAUCACCAACAUUUCCAACUUGUGCAACUUCUGAUGUAGGAGCAGAGCCCCCCACUGGCAGCACUGAAAUGAACCCCCUUCGAUUUGAGUAGGUCAUGUUUUUAUCACAUCACACCUGCUUGACAUUUAAAAUUUCUCCCAGCUGUUUGGUGUUGGAGUCACAAGCGUGUUUUGAUGUGUCAAGGACUUCUUCACAGCUAUUGUUAAGGCACUGAUGCCAUUAUUUUACUGUGGAUUGUAUUACUAACUAGAUGUAACAAAUUGAUUGGUCAUGCAAGCUUACCCCCAGGCUUUGGAAGUUUCCUAAUCACAUUAAAUCAAAUAAAAGCUUUUCUCUUACUAAGCUAAUUUCUCCAAAAUGUUCUUCUAGUUUUCUCUGUUUAAGAAGGCAAAAUGCAAUGUUCAGCUACUCAGACAAACCUUUUGCAGGAUACGCUGCAACUUCUCAUUCAGCAUCUUCUCAUUUGUAUUUAUUUCGUAUCCAACAUGUCGUUUUGAGCUCAGUAGAUCUGUUGACUUAUGCAGACUUUAAACUUCAUUUUCAUUUACAAUUUAAUAAUAAAUUAAAGUCAUUAUGACGGUAAAAGGAGGAACAUUUUCAGUUGAUCAUUAGUCCCACCCCCACCUCUCCGGCGCCACAGCUCUGAAUGGCAGACAUUACAGGCCUGAAAACUAAUUCAUGAGAAUCCUUGGGGGGGAAAAAUCAUGUCCUGUGAUGGUGGCUGCUGGUUUUCGCCACGUGAAACUAAGCUCUGAAGUGUGUGUGAUGUUUCAUUGGCCCGCACAUGCUGCCCAGCAACAGACAAGGCGACUAACUGAAUCACGGUGAAGACCAUCUGGGGAACCGAAUGUGUCAUGCUGUGCCAAGCUGCAGAAAAAUAACUCAUCAUCACGCUGCCCUCAGAGGAAGACAGAAGGCAGAGGAAAGCAGCGGCAGCCCGGCCAUCAAGGUUCACAAUGCCUCAUUAUUAUGUUGACAACCUGGGACGGGCGAAUCACCACCUGCCCUUGCAUUGUCUACAUGCUGGGGUUCGGUCGGCACAGCUGUCUGGCACACUGUCUGUUUUUGUGUCAAAGUCGAAUCCAAUUUAUUUGGCUUUGCAGUUGCAUCCUAAAUCUCCCAGCAUUCAAAACUAGGUCCAGCAGAGUCAGGGUGGAGCACACUUGCAUCUGAUUGGUUGGCAGGUGUCAUUUAAAAGUGUUUAGCAGGACACCUCACACAUAUUUCCAGUUAACAGUUUAAUCCGCCUAUAUUAGACUGCAUGUAACCAAAGCAACAAUACAAAUAAUUCUAGCUAAUAAACUUUGGAAAAGUUUCAAACAAGAUCUAGUGAGAAGAAAGGCCCAUUACUGCUACAGCUGAUGAGAAAAAUAUGAUGUAGUACACAGGUAUGAGUGGUAUUUCAAAUUAUGCAUUAAUCAGUAAUUGCAUCAGUGCUGUAUGUAUAGGAAAUAUAUUUAUUUGAAAUGUACAUUUUCAACAGUCUACAAACAAUCUUCAGGAUGUAAUCAAGUAAUUAAUUUCUGACAGAGAAUGAGGCAUGCUUUGGGAAGUUAACCUGUCGUCAAUUUGAAAUGCUUUAUUUUGGCCAAAGGUUAAGGUGGCAACUGAUCUCUUGAAAUUCCUCGUCUUAUGAUGUAAAUGUUUAAAGAAAAACGGCUCACAAAUAUAUAGUUUCAUUUUUUAAAAAGGGCUCAGUAAUUUCUCAAAACAGCUGGACACUGUAGUUUUUAACAGAUGUUACCCAAACAGCAGGAAAUAGUGCAUCUAUUGUGGACUAUUUUCUGCGGCGGAUUAAUCCACAGUUUGUGCUCUAGUCCUCCAACAGCAGGACAGUGUAUGUGGGAUUGUGUUGAAAUAAAUGACUGUGUGUGUGUUCAUAAUGAUAAUGACUGUGAUGUUGAGUCAAAGUCAUGCCUGCACAGUCAGAAACCUAGGAAAUGUUGACGAUGACAUGAGCAAUGUAUGGAAUUAACAAAGUAAAAUAUCACAAAGUCAUGGCUAUGAAAAGGUCAAAGUCCUUAAGAUGUCAGUGGAUGUCUGGCAGAGGGCACCACGAUGUCCAGAAACAGCCCAAAGAGUUGUCUUGAGGGAGUAAUGAUUAGUUUCAAUGACAUGAUCAGCGUCACGUGAUCUAAAUGCUGUUUCAGAGGCUUUUCUGUCAGGAAUACUUCUGGCAGAACAAUGUUGUCAUUUUGUAGAAUUUCUUUGGCAUGAAAAUGGUCAAACUGAACAUGGGAAGAAAAUAUCGUCCAUCAGCAGCUUCAGUCCACUCAUUACUGCUGGAAGCCAAGCACGAGUGUGCGUCUGUGUGCGCAGUGAAGGCGUGUGAUUCAGCCAGACAUGCCUGGCAUACCGGCUGUGUCUUUCUCGGCGUGACGGGAUAUUUUGUCAUCCUGCAGUCUGGACCUCAUUCUGUACUGCCUCAGAGUGAUGGAGUCUCGCUGCAGUCCAGAUUGACAUGACUCACAGCCCAGCAGGCAGCCUGUUCCCUGACCAGUUUGUCUGCUGCGGUGUCAUCUCCCACUGACUAACAGCACUUAGAGAGGAUGGGUGGUCAGAGAGAAUCACAGCACUGCGCUCAUCACCUGCUGCAGCCUCUGUAUACUCAGUUACAGUCGCUUAACAUGGGUGAGCAUAAAAAUAAUAAAAUCCUGCACGGUUGCAGUUAUUUCUCAUGACCUGUUUACUGUAGUAUUUUACAUUACUUUUAUCAAAAUAUGAGAUUAGUGCUUCUUGUGUUUCAAAUAUUUUAAAAUAUGAUUCAUAUUCAUUCCUGACGAGAGAGAGCCUUUUUGAAAUCAACCUUUACUUCCAUCUUACCGACAGCAGGUGGAUAUGUUAUGCAUGUAGCCAUCGGUUUAAAUCCAUUAUAUUUAACUUUGUCUCCUUUGUGUGUUCCUUCUGUGUAAUUAUAUACAGCGCUGUGAGGAGCAAAGCAGCAGAGGCUGUGCGCAGUGUGUUUAACUAUAAGACUUUUUAUGUCUUUGACCAUGUGGAAAUCUUUUGCUCUCACAUUGCAGAGUAUCCUGUUAGAUGCCAUUGACCGAACUGUUAAUCUUUAUUCUGUGUUUGUUUCCCCAUUAGCUUCCACAGAGUGACCGUUAGUCUUCCUGGAGUCCACACAAAAACAACAGUUUAAAUCCAACAGUAUCGCUAAAACAAGAAAAGGAAACACAAGCCAAACAUAAAGAUAGGAAAAUUAAUGAAAUAACUACAUAUGAACAGGUAGACAAUAGAAACUUACAAUGAAAACAAAAUAAAAACAAUCACAAAUGUUCCACAACAGUAGUAACUAAAAGUAACAUGUACGUGAGAGUCAUCACGUUUUGUUUUAGUGACUUUUGGAAAGAAAAUCUACUUUUGACGUGUCUGAUGUUGGUGGGUUUGAUGUUCCAGACAGAAGAAGCUCUACAAAGAACAGUUCUCAUCGUUUGUUCCUGGAAAUGAACCCACCAGCUGCCCCGUGUUCACUUGAUGUGUAUUAUACCUCACAAAAAACAGUACAUACUAGUUUUUCACAAAAGAAGUGUGGUGUAUUAUUCCAAAUGACAUUUUGCAUGAAUAACAGAAGACUAGAUUUUCAUUUAGCCAUGAUAAUCGUUUCUGCAUCUCACACAGAUUAACACAUGCAGGGAGAACAAUGAAGAACUAAUGUGGCUGCUCUGUUCUGUGCAAUCUGAAGUUUCUUUUAGAUUUAGUUUCUCAGCAGCACUUGACCAAAUGACUGGGCACUUCUGACAGAAGAGGUGUCUGAACAACGUCAGAAGAGGGAACGCAUGCAGAACAUUUCCCAUCAUGGAAACAGUGUGAUCAGUCUGAUCAGACCCAGACAGUAAAUUAUCUAUUCACUGUUAAUUUAAAUGAUAUGAAUAAACAUUAUUUAACAAUAUUAAGUUUGAUUGCAUUACUUAACCGAUCUCAGUAUAUUGUACUAUAAUGAAGGGAUCAUUGUUUUCACUAGCAUCUUGGAGUUGAACAGACCUAAAUGGAUACGUCUUUAGCCUGGACCACACACACUCAGCGCUGCAGCACUUUGCCAGCUUCCAAUUGGCUAAUUCACUCAACUUGUGUGGGCAUGAUCAGGGCUUGUUGAAUGACAAACAAACAAAACAACCGCCACGUUCUCUCCACCAUUUUUCACAUCGCCGGCCUGUGUCUCACUAAAGGAGCCUGCUCCUCAGCAGUGGACGAGUUAUCAAAAACAUUCAUUUUCUCUGUUUAGAAUUAUUUCACCGUCACUGGAGGAAUACGAACCAGUUGGGCCGCUGACUGUAUUCAUAUCGUGACAUUUGGAAGAAUUUUUUUGUUUUCUAUCCGGGCCUGAUGACCAUCUUGGAGAAGUGAGGUUUCACUUUUAGCCUACUUACUGUGACAAACAAAGAAAUCAGCUGCUCUGUCUGACGGAGGCUUCUGGUCAUUGUUGGGGAAAGUGCUGCUUCUUUAAGAGCUCUGAUACUGAUGAUGAGAUCGCCUUCAAAGACAUUCCUGUUGGAGUCUUCUGCCUUCAGGAAGAUGUAGUCCGAAACCUGCCUUCUCCCCACCUGAACCCAUCAGAAGCAGGGAACAUCUUGGGAGAGAAUCGAUCCAAUGUUUUGUCUGUAUAUGUCAACAAACAAUGUGUGUUAUUGUUGUCAUUUCAAAUACAAUUUUAAUAAAUGUUCUGCAUU